CCUACGGGUGGCUGCAGUGGGGAAUAUUGCACAAUGGGGGAAACCCUGAUGCAGCGACGCCGCGUGAGUGAAGAAGUAUCUCGGUACGUAAAGCUCUAUCAGCAGGGAAGAUAAUGACGGUACCUGACCAAGCAGCCCCGGCUAACGACGCGACAGCAGCCGCGGGAAUACGUAGGGGGCAAGCGUUCCCCGGAUGUACUGGGGGGAAAGGGAGCGUAGACGGCAGCACAAGUUUGGAGUGAAAUCCCUGGUCUGAACCCCGGAACUGCUUUGGAAACUGUGCGGCUGGAGUGCAGGAGGGGUAAGCGGAAUUCCUAGUGUAGCGGUGAAAUGCGUAGAUAUUAGGAGGAACACCGGUGGCGAAGGCGGCUUACUGGACUGUAACUGACGUUGAGGCUCGAAAGCGUGGGGAGCAAACAGGAUUAGAUACCCCAGUAGUC
rnacentral:rRNA from 1 species